rnacentral:rRNA from 1 species
AGAGUUUGAUUAUGGCUCAGAUUGAACGCUGGCGGCAUGCUUUACACAUGCAAGUCGAACGGCAGCACGGGGGCAACCCUGGUGGCGAGUGGCGAACGGGUGAGUAAUACAUCGGAACGUGCCCCGUAGUGGGGGAUAACUAGUCGAAAGAUUAGCUAAUACCGCAUAUGCUCUGAGGAGGAAAGCAGGGGAUCGCAAGACCUUGUGCUAUGGGAGCGGCCGAUGUCCGAUUAGCUAGUUGGUAGGGUAAAGGCCUACCAAGGCGACGAUCGGUAGCUGGUCUGAGAGGAUGAUCAGCCACACUGGGACUGAGACACGGCCCAGACUCCUACGGGAGGCAGCAGUGGGGAAUUUUGGACAAUGGGGGCAACCCUGAUCCAGCCAUGCCGCGUGAGUGAAGAAGGCCUUCGGGUUGUAAAGCUCUUUUGUAUGGGAAGAAAAGAUUACGGCUAAUACCCGUGAUACUUGACGGUACCGUAAGAAUAAGCACCGGCUAACUACGUGCCAGCAGCCGCGGUAAUACGUAGGGUGCGAGCGUUAAUCGGAAUUACUGGGCGUAAAGGGUGCGCAGGCGGUUCGUUAUGUCUGCCGUGAAAGCCUCGGGCUUAACCUGAGAAUUGCGGUGGAAACUGGCGAGCUUGAGUGUGGCAGAGGGGGGUGGAAUUCCACGUGUAGCAGUGAAAUGCGUAGAGAUGUGGAGGAACACCGAUGGCGAAGGCAGCCCCCUGGGCUAACACUGACGCUCAGGCACGAAAGCGUGGGAGCAAACAGGAUUAGAUACCCUGGUAGUCCACGCCCUAAACGAUGUCAACUAGUUGUUGGGGGAGCGAUUCCUCAGUGACGCAGCUAACGCGUGAAGUUGACCGCCUGGGGAGUACGGUCGCAAGAUUAAAACUCAAAGGAAUUGACGGGGACCCGCACAAGCGGUGGAUGAUGUGGAUUAAUUCGAUGCAACGCGAACAACCUUACCUACUCUUGAC